rnacentral:rRNA from 1 species
UACGUAGGGACCAAGCGUUGUUCGGAUCUACUGGGCGUAAAGGGCGCGUAGGCGGCGUGUUAAGUCAGCUGUGAAAUCUCCGAGCUUAACUCGGAACGGUCAGCUGAUACUGAUGUGCUAGAGUGCAGAAGGGGCAAUCGGAAUUCUUGGUGUAGCGGUGAAAUGCGUAGAUAUCAAGAGGAACACCUGAGGUGAAGACGGGUUGCUGGGCUGACACUGACGCUGAGGCGCGAAAGCCAGGGGAGCAAACGGG